UCAUUUCCACCUUCUUUAUCUCUCAACUCGUCUCUCUCACUCUCACAGCCGCUGUCCGCCACCCGCAUGGAAUCGCCUAUGGCGGCGGCGACACUCCAAAUCAUCCCAAAUCUUUACCCUAUACUCCCCACACCCUCCUAAACCUUAUCCUACAAUUAAUUCCCCAAAAUCCCCACCUAUAUUCACCAAUUUCCAAUCUCAAAAACCCUAAAACCCAAAUUUUUUCUUUUUUGAUUUUUGAGAGCAAAUUCACCCGUUUUGACUAAAGACUUAUAUUGGUCAAUUGUUCUUAACAAGAACAAUUGGUUAAUGUUGGUUUUGUGUUAUUUCAAAACUCGCCAGAUUCCGUCCAAGUCAACACUGACCGGCUGAGCUUCGUCGCCUUCAUCGUUCGUCGAUUCGCUUCGUUCGUCGACUCAUUUCUCGGCCAAAAUUAUUAUAUCUCUUCUCUUAUUCCUUGUUUUUCUAUUUUUGGUGUUGCAUUAUUAAUUAGGAGUUAAUUUUGAAUAGCUUGGUUAUUGAUUUGAUUAAGUUCAUUAAAAUUAGGAUUAUGUAGGUUAAUUGCAUUAUUUUAGGAUUAAUAUCUUUAUGUUUAUCAUUUUUGUUUGAUUUUCUGUUUUGGCUACAUUUCAUAUAAGUAUGUUUGUUUUUUAUGCCUUAAUUGAAACUUAAGGGGGGGGGGGUCUAAAGGAACAUGGAAACUUAGGGUAUUAUAAAUCAGAAAUUAGGUCAAAAUUGGGGUGACUAUUUGUAUUAAGUAGAAUUUAGGGAGGUUAACUAGACAGUAAAGAUGAGAAAUUUCAGAUAAGCAUACAAGAAGCUUCUAGAUCUUGGACAGUUGACCAUUUUUAGUUUUAAAAGAUGCUGAAAUUUGAAUGAAUUAUUUAGAAACAAGGACAAUUGCCAAUUUUCUUUUUUGAAAGAUGCUAAUUUCCUAAAUUUAAGGGAGGCUGACAGAUUCUCUCGACCUCUCUCUCAUUCCCAUCAUCUUUCAUUCUCACAUUCUAUAAAAAAAAGACUCACACUCUCUCAUUCACACACUUUUCACUCAGCAUUUUUCUCUCAAUUACACUCAAGAACACACACUAAUUCUCUACAAGAUACACAAAAAGCACUCACACAUAUAGAUUGAUUUUUCUUGAAAUUUUAGAAAAUUCUUCAAAAGAAAAAAAGAAAAGAAAAAGGAACAGAAGUCAUUUGGCUUCAGGUUUUCACUAGUUUUUUGGUUCUUUUCCUUUGGUUGAACUUUUGGAUUUGUGCUCCUGAUUUAAAGCUGUUAUCUUGCUGAUAUUCUUGCUGAUUCAGAGACUUAUUUUUUGGUUUUCUAUUGUUUUUCUUGGCAAUCAGGUACACCUCUAUGAUUCUGUACAAUUAUGAUCUUUAGAAUAAUCAAAGUUUUCUAUUUUAAUAUGAAGUUAUGACUCUUUGUUUCUCUUAUAUGAUUUUAUGUAUGUUUGUUAGUUGAUUGGUCCAUAUUUGAACUUAUCUCUUUGACAUAGUCCUUAUUUUAUAUAAAAAUACAAGCUAAAGUAAAAUUGUUGUUUAAGUUUGGUUUCCUGAAGCAUAAGCAUAUCUUAUUGCAUUUAUAGGGCUAUUACUUUGCUUAAUAUUACUUGCUAAAAGUGAAAUUCAUGUGUUCAGAAUCAUAAGCACAUCGGUUGUUUGUGUAAAGGUGAGAAGCAUCACAUUGCAAUCAAAAGCAUUUGGAAGUUUAGCAUAUAUGUGAUUCACAUAUUUAGGCUUUGAAUGUUUGAGAUUAAGUUGUCUGAUUCCAAAAGACAUGAGAAGAAGUAGUGUAAUUUUGGUAACACCUAGUUCUAGUAUGUAUGAAGGAUGAUUGUUUAUUGUAAACUCAGAAUUUGCAAAAUAUCUGGGUAUAAUAGCUUAAGUCUAUUGUUUUGUGUGAUGUCUUAAGUUUGCAUUUUUUACUCCCUGUUUUGAAUUUUGGACUCCAGUGCUUCUGAAAUUGAAUAUUGAGGUAAUGGUUUGUUUGAGCUAAGUAUUUAAGAGUCAAAUCCUUUCAUGAGGCAACUCGUUAAUCACACGAUGUUCUAAGAUUAAUCCCAUAAUUUCGAUUGUUGCUUAUAACUGUUUCCAUGUUAGGUUGAAAUACUGAUUUUUAAUUUAUUUUGGCUGCAAACUGUGCAUUGAUUAGUUUUACUGCUACUAAUGGAGGAACUAUUUCAAUAGAGCAAGUCCAUAGGUUCAAAAUGCCAUUAUUAGGAGUCAGGCGUAUAGCGAGUUGUUUAAAAAGAUUUAAACUAAAUAUGGCCAUUACUGAUCCCUUUAAAUUUGGAGCAGUCAUGCAUUGAUGUUUGAGUAAAUUUGCACUUAUAUUCUAUGUGCUUUCAUAAAAUUGUGUGGAACGGUCAUUAGAAUCAUUAGGUUCAGUAGUAAUGACAGUCUUCAAAAUUUUGUGACAUUUGCACCUCUGGGCGCAGCUUAGGCCCGUUUGGUAAUUUAUGGCUUCAUUGCUGAAGUUUAGUCUCAACCAUGAAUUGCAAUGUUAUUGGGCCUUCCAGUAGGCCCAUUUACGCUCACUUUAAUUGUUGGGCAUUUAGUGUGGGCACUUAAUUGAGUUUAGCUCAUAACACCACUUACUAUCAUCGGCUAGUUUAGAUUCCUUUAAUUAGCAAAAAUAUAACAAAUAGUUGCGAACUAGAACAGGGAGGUAACUCACGAUUUUCUUAAUCAUAUUUUAUCACCAAGUUUUUGUCUUCUCCUAUUAAAAAUUCAAAUAACCAUCAUUCAUUGGGCUUAGGCGUGCUUACACAAAUUUUUCAAAACAAUUGCAUAAUCAAUGGCGUCACAAUAAUCUCAAGUUAGCUUUAGGAAAAAAUAAUAAUUCAUGAACAUCGUAGCUUACUUUAGGCGUGAUUAAUAAAUCAUCGUGGCCAUGCGUACGGUUUCUGUGGCAUAGUCACGUUACGUAAAUCCCAAUUUGGGUGUGCAUUUUAUGUGACCCGACCAUAACUUCGAAUAAUAAUAAAAUAAACAUGUUGUAAGUCGCGGGUGCAUUUCACGUGAUGUGAUUUGCAAAAUGUACAAAAACAAACAAGUGAUCGAUAUCGCGACCUGUUUCAAAUAAAUUCCAUAAUUGUUUAAAAUAAUUAAAAGCAGAUAAAAGGUUAAAAAAUACACAAUAAGUUUAAAAUAUGUGUUAAAUUAGAUAAUUAGGCCAAUUAUUAAUAGUUGAGUGACCGUGCUAAAAUUAUGGAACUCGGGAGUGCCUAACACCUCCUCACAGGUUAAUAGAAUUCCUUACUCGGUCUUCUGUGUUCGCGAACCAAAAAUAGAGUCAAAAUUUCCUCGAUUUGGGAUUUAAAAUAAAUCGGUGACUUGGGACACCAUAAAUUAUCCCAAGUGGUGACUCUAAAUAAAUAAAUAAUCCCAUUUCGAUUAAUGUUACUUUAAUUGGAAAACAUCCCUAUCCCCUCGGAAAAAACGAGGUGUGAUAGCUCGGGUGACUCUGCUGGGGAGUAGAACCCAAAAUCUCUGGUUCAGGGUUUAGAAUUCGAGUUUAGAAUAACUGUGAUACUUGGCUUUUGUUUAUUAUCUUAUUUUUAUAUUUUUGAGCCUAAUGUGUUAAAUGCCGCUUUUUACCGCUUUUAUAUUAUUUGAACUAUAUAUAAAACUGUUACGAAUCCCUCUUCUCUCUGAGUCUUCUAAAUCUUCUGGGGCGUGUGCGCUUUGCGUGUCUUCUUUUCUUUUAGAGUCAUAUCCCAAUUUUAGAACGAGGUUCAGACAAGUUGCAAAGCCGGUGAAACUUCUGUAUUCCGAUACGUUGCCCCCACCCCCGACUCGAGUUGUCUGCUCGGGUAAGCCAAGUUUAGAACAAUACACCCAAUUUUAAACCUAGAAUAAUAUAGCCUCAUGCCGGAUCCCUAGCAGAAACGCUUGUUUGCAUAACGUACAUUUGACUUUGGGGACUCAACACAGAGGUUGGGUCCGUCUAGGACAGGUGUACCCAAAAAUUAAAAGACCAUCCUGAUGCAUUUUUACGUACUACUUGUACAUUUAUUUGCUUCAACUUUCAUGUUGACCGGCUUCUAGAAUAGGGAAGAAAAGUCAAGAGAAACCAAAAUUGAGGUAAGAAAGAGAAAAUCACCCGUUUCUGAAAAUCUCGGUAUCCAAAAUAUCCCGAAACUCUACCGAAUUUUUGAUUAAAAAAGAGAAAAAGAAGAAAAGCCAUUUCAAAAUAAAUUAUAUUUUCUAGUUGCGUCAAAAUUUACUAAACUACGGGGAUUUGAUUCUCACCAGAUGUGAGAUACGUAGGCAACCCUCAUCGGGUCCAGCCCCUCUUUUGCAAAAUAACCAAAAAUAUGAAAAUAUAGUCAUUGUGUCAUAAAUAAAGUUAGGUGAUGCCGUUUUUGUCCAAAUAGCCAGAAAUAUCCCAACCGGGCGUCGGAAGGCGGUUUUUGCAAGAAUAGUCGUCUAUGGUCCUUUUUCUAGUUUUAGGCCAUUUAGCAAACACAACCCUAAAAUCUCCCCUUCUGAAUUGCUGAAGGGCUUUAUUUGCAAAAUUAGCCGUGAUUUGUUUUAAAUUAAAAUAAUCUUUUGCUUGGUCAGUUUUCAAACGAAACUCACAUGUUUUAACCAGUCACCCUAAUUUAAAUGUGUAGAAUGAGCACAAUUGAGAACCUACCUUUUUGAGUCGUAGAUGAAAUUCCACUAGGACUCCACAUGUGGUGGAACGACCUGAGGGAGGCCGGCAAACGUUCUGUGACAAAGGCUUUAGGUGGGCUCACUGGUCUUUUGAGAAUUAAACCAAGGGUUGAUAUAAUUGAAGCUUUGAUACCAUUCUGAGACCCGAUACAUAAUGUUUUCCACUUCUCUGAUUUUGAGCUGACCCCUACACUAGAGGAGAUAGCAGGUUAUGCUGGUCUUGACGGGAAUCUCAAGCAUCGAUAUCCAGUAGCACCAAGAACUGUGACCCCUCAUAAGUUUUUGGACCUUCUAAGUAUUAGCCGACAGGUUAAAGAUGAAAAUUUGGCCAGAAGAUUCUGUACAUUCCAUUUCUUAUAUAGCCGGUAUGGGGACCCCUGCGGAUUUGAGGCUCCGGACACUAGUUUGAGUCAUCAGGGAAAUAAAAAAAAAAGGGAAGCACAUAGAGGUUUGGCCUUUGUAGUGGCAUUUUUAGGCACUCUGAUAUGGCCAAGGAGUGACAGACAUAUAGAACUGGGCCUUGCAGGAAUAGUCGACUUUAUGGUCAAAAAGGCCAAUGGCACUACCAUACCGAUGACUCUCGUAGAAAUUUACCAAGCUUUAACCGCUUGUCGAGCUGGGACAAAGUUUUUGAGGGUUGCAACUUGCUUUUGCAAAUAUGGCUGGUAGAACAUCAUUGUCAUCGCCCGGGUACAUGAACUACGGUCUGACCGGACUCAAUGGCAUUGAAGAAUAUGGAAACAAGGUAAACGGUCAUGAGUUUCCAGAAGGUACUGAGGCAUGGUUCGCGUAUUUGGGUUAUUUGACCGCAAACCGAGUUGAGUGGAUUUUCGGUUGGCUCCCGGUCAUGUCUGCCGGAGUGUGCUACCGGAGUGUGCUUUCUUUUAUUGAUGGGUCUUUGGAGUAUUCAGCCGGAUGCUCCGCAUCGGGUCCUACGACAAUUGGAAAGAUACCAAACAGUCCCUCAUGAUGAAGAUUUGAGUCCAUAGGUUAUUGAACUAUGCCCAAAGCCACAUUCCCAGAAGAAAAGGUUCGCCAGAUUUGGCACCAAUAUAGGUUUUUGGAGCAACAGAAUCAAGUACGUGAUUUGUUCACGGGUGAAGUAGAAUCCAACUACACCGCAUGGUAUGGUAAGAGAGUUUGGGUCGAUCAAGAACCAGAACAGCCGGCCAAAAGGCCCCAUGUCCAACAAUUCACCAACGGAGCGCGAAAACAAUGGGUCUGGUUAGCUAAAGAGAAGGGAUACAAGACUACCAUAAGCAAGCUAGAGGAUCAAAUCAAAAAAGUCAAAUUUGAUUGUAGUUUGCAGGCUACUGAGGAUAAAGGAGAAAAUAAAAGGUUGGCUCGAGAAAAUGAAGCCCUCAGAUCUCAGAUUCAGAAGAUGAAAAUAGCCGUUGAAAACCCGGCAAGAAGCGAAAAAGACGAAAAACGCAUAAGCAAUCUGAGACGAAAAGUGAAUGAUUAUGGGUUUGAUAUGGAAAAGGCCAAGGAUGAAUUGGCAAAAGCCUGGGCAAAGUUAGCAAAGAAUGCAGAAGAACGGACAAGGUUUGCUCAGCAGUUAAAUCAAAGGUAUGAUGAAAGGGUCACAAUCUUAAGGAAAAAAUGACUAAUCUCGAGAAUAAAAUGGUCUAGCAAGCAAAGGAUUUCAAAAGAGAGAGAGAUCAUUGCUAUACAAUGAUCUCCCAAUUAAAGAAGAUAUACAGUAGUUUCAAGACCAAAACCAUACGGCCACGCAGGUGUUGGAAGCCCGGUCUCAGCAAAUUGGACGCCUACUCCAAGAAAAGGGUGUCAUUAGAAUGAAGAUUAAAGAAAUUGCUGAUUAUGUCGCAAUGAAGUGUCAUGAAUGCGAAGAUUUGACUAGGUCCAUGUUCUUUGCUGCUGUGAUGACCUUUGUCCGUCAGGUGAUAGAUGAUUUAGAGUACCUCCAAGAAUAGAUUACACACAGGCCCGCAUCAAGACUGACUGAUGUCCCGCGGGCCCCUAGAGUAGCAUUGGAGGCUCUUAUAUAUCCUGUUUUUCUUUUGGCUUUGAGUCUGUAUUUCACCUUUUCGAGUCUGUUAGUGUUUCCAAGUCUGUUUAUUUUUCUAUUUUGAGUCUGUAUGUCAGGUCUUUGUAAUUGAAAAACCCAAAAAGAUUUUAUUUAAUGAAAUAUUGAAAACCGAAAAUUUUCUUUUCUUUUAUUUCACAUUUAUUCCCUGAACUAUGUAAUGAUUUGAUUAAUGCAGCAUCGUGAUACAUAGGCAAUCUCUAUCGGAUUCGAUCAUAGCUAUAAAAAUCCGAGUGAAAAAUAAACUAAAAAAAGGUGAAAAGAGAGAGAGAAAAGAAAGAAAAAAAUUUGAGUGAAACGAAAGAUAAGAUUGAAGAAAUAAAAGAGCAAAAAAUAGCAAAAGAGGAAGAAAAAGAAUCAAGAUUCGAAAUUUGAGAAAACAUAUAGUAAAAGCCGGGAUAAAAAAUACUGUCGUUGCAAAACAUUUAGAAACGUUUAACUGUUCAGGUGCAUUGCAUCCCCAAUAUGCGAUUCCUAAUCUGUUAAAUUUUUCAAACUAACUGGUUUGUUAUGUGGCAUUAUACAUGUCCUGUUUUAGGUGGUUGAUUUUGUGGUAGUCUAGCUUCCCAUCCUUACUUCACAAGAUCCAAAGGCAGCAUUCCCAUGGCUUCCAAAAGUCAUCUACCAAUUAUUAAUCCUCCAGAGGAUAGCUCGGUAUCGGUUAUCCCAGUGUCAGAAUCAACAACUGCUGGAGAAAACAGAAUGUUGCAUUAUCGUAUGUUAGAGAUAUGGGACACUUGGUCUAAUGGCAAAGAACACCCCGGUACAAUCCCCUAAUUUCCUGAACUACUUCCCAGGGCAAACAGAACCUCCAACGUCCCUAUUCUCAUAACCAAUCCAUUCAUCUUGUUUGGGUACCCUACUAUAUCAGCUAAUUUCACUUGUAAGCCUUCUGAGGUUCGCCCUUAGGCACCAUUUCCAGGAGUAUCUCCUACAAUUCACCACACCACCAGUCUCUACUACGGCACAACCAACAGUGUUCGGACCAUAUUUCGAGCCUCCCGCUUUCACUUUUCAAAUACCAUAAUAUCAGCUAGACAUAGUCAUGUCACCUUAAACUCCUAUCCUCAGUACCCAUGAUACGAGUCUCCAGUAUAACAGGAAAGAACAGCAAGAAACCCCGAGUAAGAAGAAAUGGAGAAAAUGAAAAGUCUUGAACAAAGUCUUAAGAACAUGCAAGGCCUGAGUGGCCAAAAGAGUGUUUCAUACUCCGAUCUGUGCAUGUUUCCUCGUGUUUAUUUUCCCGUUUGCUUUAAAAUGCCAAAAUUCAAGAAAUACAACGGGCAUGGAGACUCGAUCGCUCAUUUGAAAAGAUAUUGUAAUCAAUUGAGAGGGCGGGUGGAAAGGAAGAACUUUUGAUGGCCUAUUUGGGGGAGAGCUUGACAGGAAUUGCAUCAGAAUGGUACAUGGACCAAGACAUCUCCCAUUGGCAUAUAUGGGACGACCUAGCCCAAGAUUUCGUCAGGAAAUUUCAAUACAAUGUCGAUAUAGCCCCAUAUAGGAAUUCUUUGACCAAUUUCAAGAAAAAAACCGCGGAAAGUUUCCGUGAAUACGCUAUCAAGUGGCGUGAGCAAGAUGCUCGAGUAAAACCACCUAUGGAUGAGACAUAAAUGGUAAAUGUUUUCUUGCAGGCCCAAGAGGCCGAUUACUUUCAAAACAUGAUGUCUGCCAUGGGCAAACCUUUUGCAGAAGCCAUAAAGAUCGGAGAAAUGAUAGAAAAUGGCCUGAAAAUUGGAUAAGUCAAUCAGCUUUGAGAGACACUUCCCAAGCCAUCCAUAACGACUUAAGAGGUUUAGCAAAUCGAAAGUAGAGGGAAGAAGGAGCCAUGAUGGCUUCAAGUUCGAGAAGCUCUCGUCGAUCCCGUGAUUAUUCUUACCCGCCUUCCAGAACCCCACAACACUACUACCCUAUCAAGAUGCAACAUAUGCCAUGGCACCGCCUCCCUAUGUGGUGAUGAAUGCCCAAUCCUAUACACGGCCACAUUAGCACUACGACAGAAACAGAGCUCCACCUCCAAGAAAUAACCAUCCUCACCAAGCUCCAUAUAACCCUCGUCCACCACAGAACAUCUACCAACAUAAUACACACCAUCGUGAGCCUCCCCGGAAAAGCGACUUCACCCCUAUUCUUGAAUCCUAUUAUAGCAUGUUUUUAAAAUAAAUCCAGAUGGGUCUAUUGCAACAUGUGCCUCCAAACCGGCAACAUCCAGAAUCUCCAUCAUACCGACCUGGUACCGAGUGUGCUUAUCAUCCGAGUGUAGAGGGUCAUGAUACAGAGGAUUGUUGGACUUUCAAGAGGACAAUUGAGAAUUUGAUAGAACAAAAACGAGUGGGGCUGAGGGAUGAGGAAGUUCCUAAUGUGACUAACAAUUCAUUACCGGCUCUCAACAAUGGGCGUCAUUGGAAUGGUUUAUGAUGAUAAAGAGUUUGAUCUCACCUUGAAACCUAUCAUCGCCAUUGCUGAUUCGGAGGCAAGACCUAAAGCGGUGCUGAAACAGUCCAGAAUGAGAAGAAGAAAUCACGCCAACUCCUCAGGUUGCAGAAAAAGCCGUGGAAACGAAAAUCGGGGCAACACCUGCUAAGGACGCAAUUCUUUACGUUCCUAGGGCCACAAGGAAAGAACAACUCAUGUAUUUGAGCAAAAGAAAGUCAUGCUGAAUGUGCCAAAGAUAUAUGUGCCAAAAAGGACUUAUGUGGCGCGGGGCUAAUAAUUUUACCAAGACUGACUGAUCCCAUGGUUAUUAGCCAUGCACCCAGAGCCCUAUGAGAGACCCCACUGCAAUUCCCUAGAACUAUAGCAAAACAGUGGUUACUUACAAGGGGAAAGAGAUUAUGGGAGAAGUGAAUGAAAUGAACCAAUCUGGGAAGUACCACAACCCAAAGGAGCUAAAGAGAUCAAAACUGAACAAGGAGAUACGGUUUCCACCCAAGACGUCUGUGAGUGCUGAAGAGGCAGAAGAGUUCUUCCGAAAAAUGAAAACUUUGGAAUAUGCCAUAAUUGACCAACUCCGGAAUAAUCCUUCCUAGGUUUUGCUUUUAUCCCUGCUAUUGAGCUCAAAUGAAUAUUAGAAGGUCCUUUUGAAAACAUGUAGAAACUUCAGUGGAACAAUUGGAAUGAAUGGAUGAAUGUUUCUUCGCAGUUAACAGGAUUUCUUUCAGUCAUGAUGAAUUGCCCCAGAGGGAGCCGCCCACAACAAAGCCCUUCACUGACUGUCAAAUGCGAAGGUGAUUAUCUGAAGAGGGUCAUGCUAGACGGUGGGUCCGGGUUUGACAUUUGCCUUCUCUCAAUGCUUCAGAUUGGAAUAGAAGGGAUUCAACCAAACAAUGUCUAUAUGUACGCUUUUGAUGGUGUCAAGCGUGAUACAAUAUGGGAAAUUGACUUGCUUCUGACCAUUGGCCCUGUGGAUUUCCAAGUGACUUUCCAGGUUCUAGAUAUGGAUACUUCAUAUAACUUUCUCCUAGGAAGACCACGGAUUCACGCUGCAGGGGAUGUGCCCUCCACUCUCCACCAAAUGGUCAAGCUUGAACAUGAAAACCAAGAAAUUUUUGUCCACGGGGAGGAUGAAAAAUCCAUUUACAAGGACCCGUCGGUCCCAUGUCUUGAAGCUAGAGAAGAAGUGAGAACAUUGUUUAUCAAGCCUUCAAAAUUAUGGUCGCCGACCAAUGCGAAUAAGGGGCCCCGUUUCCUCAACCUUGCUUAUCAAAUGCAUCGGUCAUGGUAAAGGGCUUGGGGUAUCUCUACAAGGCAUCAUAGAGACCAUUACUUCGACCGCCAAUAAGAAGUUCUUCGCCGUAAGUUUCCAAGCUACAAGUGCCAACAUAAAAUGGGCUGAUGAGCACAAGAAAAAUGGGUGGAUCCUGCCUCAGUCUGUUCUGCAUCUCGCCAAGUCAUUUGUUAAGCCCAAGUAUGAAGAAGGGGAAGAAGAGGCCUUCACGGCCGAGGAGGUUGAGGAUAUUUGUGAAGCAAUAAAACAAAAUGUUGUACGAGUCCCACAUGGUCCAGCCGGGAGAAGGAACGAGCACUGCUGAGGUGCUAUACAUGGGACCAAAUGCCAAGCUUCAAAAUUGGAAGGCUACCCCAUUACCUGUCACACGGGAGUCCCGGUAGUCCGGUCUUGCCAUCUUUUCUAGAUUAUGAGUUAUUUCAGGGUAUAACUCAAAUGUUUUUAUUUUAUUAUCUUUUGAUUUCGAUGUAAACCCUCCUAUCUUCAAAUUCAAUGAAAUGAAAUCAAUAUUUCAUCGUCAAUGGAUUUCUCCUUUUUCGUUAUUUUGAUUUUGUCAUUUUUCUUAUCUAUUUCUUUUCAGUUCUAAUAAUGCGGACUUAAAUAACAUGACAUGCUUGCGGACUUCAUGCCCAGAUCCUUAAAUUCUGUCUAACUCUGAAAUAAUGAAUCAAGAACCAGAAUAUGACGAAGAUAAGGCUUUUAGGGGAAUAAAUCGAGAAUUGGAGCAAUUUGAGAAUAAUCCUAAGCCAAACUUAAAUAAAAUCGAGCCAGUUAAUUAGGGUAGUCUAGAAGAGGUCCGGGAAACCAUGAUAAGCAUUCACGCAGAUGAAAGAACUAGAAAUGCAUUGAUCCAACUUUUGUUUGAAUUUAAAAACAUGUUUGCAUGGUCCAAUGAUGAUAUGCCAGGACUGAGGAGGAGCCGGUAGCUAUUCUAGACUGGCAGGUUCGUCAGUUAAGAUCGAAGAAUUUCCCUUCAAUUCAUGUGUAGUGGAGAGGUCAGCCUGUUGAGGCAGCGACCUGGGAGUUCGAGUCCGAUAUGCGGAGCCGAUAUCCCCAUUUUUUAUCCGACUCAGGUACUUUUUUAUGUCCGUUCGAGGACAAAUAGUUAUUUUAGAGAUGGAGAAUGUGAUGACCCAAAAGGUCAUCUCUUUUUUUCGAAGUCAAAUCUGUGUUCUGAGGCCUUAAAAACCUCCUUUUGUCUUACCUUGAUUUGCAUGCAUAGUCUGGGCACGUUUCUGCAAAGCUUUUAUGUGAACUUUAAGGGAAAUAUUGAAAUUAGCCUUUAAAAUUAAUUAAAGUUGACAUAGGUCAACAUUUUUGGUAAAUGGACCUGGACCCGUGAUUUGACGGUCCCGUAGGGUCUGUAGUAAAAUAUGGGACUUGGGUGCAUGCCCAGAAUCAAAUUUCGAGGUCCCUAGUCUGAGAAAAGAGUUUUUAAAGAAAAUUAUUUACUGGAAAAUAUAAAGACUUUUGGAAAUGAUAUGAUGUGUGUUUUUGAUGGUAUUGGGCCAGUACUUUGGUUCCGGAACCCGGUAUAGGUUUAAAAUAAUAUUUAAGUUAAAUCUGUGAAAUUUGAUAAGAAUCAGAGUUUAUUUGAUAUAAAUCGGACCUUAGGUUGAGAAAAUGGAAAACUUGAACUAUCUUAUGAAUUUCAUGAUUUUGAGGUUGAAUUCAUAGUUGUUGAUGUUAUUUUGAUGAUUUGAUCGUACGAGCAAGUUCGUAUGAUGUUUUUAGAUUUGCGUACAUGUUUGGUUUGGAUCCCCGAGGGCUCGGGUGAGUUGUGGAUAGGGUGGUGAUUUUGACUUAGGAAAAUGCAUCUGUGCAUCUGGUAUUUUUGCAGAGGCCUCUGAUCUCACAAUUGCGAGAUUAGGCUUUGCAAUUGCAAAGUGAUCAGGCUUGGGAAAUGCGACCAAUAUGUCACAAUAUCGAACCAGGCCUGGGCAGGCCCUCAUCGCAAAUGUGAUCUUAGGUCGGGAAUUGCGAAGGGCCCUCUGUCACAAAUGCAACAUUUUUAUCGCAAAUGCGAAGGUAGCAGAUUUUCAAAGGGUUCGCAAUUGUGAACCCCUGAACGCAAUUGCGAUAACUGCACCUGUUAAAUGGGAUUUUAGACGGGAUUUUUCAUCAUUUUACAACUUUCUCAAACCCUAGAUUUUUCAAAGGCUCAAACUUCUCAAAAUCAUAAGUAAGUGAUUUCUAACUUAUCUUCUUCAAUCUAGUUCAUUCUUUUUACAUAGUUUCACUUCAAAAUCUAGGGUUUUUCAUGGGAAAUUGGGUGUUUUUGGGUAGAAAUUAGGAUUUUUAAAUUUUGGGGGAUUUGGACCUCAAUUGGAGGUCGGGUUUCAAAAUCAAUUGCAUAUUUGAGUUUGUGAGUUAAUGGAUAAUCGGGUUUUGGUUCGAACUUCGGUUUUGACAAAGCGGGACUGAGGGCGGUUUUUGACUUUUUGGGGAAAACAUUGAGAAAUCUCAUGUAUUAAAAUUGGUUUAUUUAUCAUUUAUUGAUGUUAUUAAGUAACUUAUGACUAGAUACAAGCAGAUUCAAAGUGGAACCGAAAGGUAAAGCGGUAAUUGAGACUUGAUUUUGUCUGUGGAAUUAAAGUAAGUAUUUGGCCUAACCUUAGCUUGAGGGAAUAUGAGUUGUGGUCUUAUUUGUUAUGUGUUAGUAUCGAGUACGACGUAUAGGUGUGGUGAUGAGUAUCGAUACGUUGGUGUCAAGCAUUCUCGUGAGUCUUAUACCAUGGUUGUUGUGACUAUAUUAUGCAUUGUCCAUGCUUAAAUUGAUAAUUAUCAAUGUUGAACAAGGCUUAUGAUAAUUUCUUGGUAAUUGACCAUUGUGGAGCAUUAGCUCAAGCUGAGAUUCAUUUUGUAAAGUAACUGUUGAAACGAGAUUGGUUAUAGCUGAUUCCCUUGCGGAGAUGUUAUUGUUUAUAUUGUUGAUUCCCUUGCUAGGGCACAUUGUUUCUAUUGUUUGGGUAAGGAAGAGUGUAAAGUAUGAAGGGUGAUGCCGUGCAUGAUAUUGUAAGUGGGUGUUAAUACACGAAGGUUGAUGCCGUGCCAUGAUUUGAGAGAAUGCACGAAGGGUGAUGCCGUGCCGAUAUUAUGAGAGUUAAUGCACGAAGGGUGAUGUCGUGCCAUGAUUAUGAGAGGUAAUGCACGUAGGGUGAUGCCGUACCAUUUCUGUUGUAUCAUAUGGUGAGAACGAGAGUAAAAGCACAAAGGAUGAUGCCGUGCACGUGUUACUAUUUUCCUUAUUCCUGCUAAUUUAACUAUGGUGUCCUUUAUGCUUCUCUAUUGGUUUAUUGCUAGAACUGAUAUUCCCCGCAGCAUGUCCCCUUCCCAUCUUAUUCUGUUGAUUCCUGUUAUCAUGGUUAUGUUUGUAUAUGAUUUAACUGCAUAGUUUAAAUGGUUGUUGUGUCCUAGCUUCGUCACUACUUCACCGAGGUUAGGCUCGACACUUACCAGUACAUGGGGUCGGUUGUACUGAUACUGCACUCUGCACUCUUUUGUGCAGAUUUCGGUGCUGGACCUGGUGAGUAGCUGAAGUAGCUGCCUUCAGUCUAGGGAGACCAAGGUAGAUCUGCUAGCGUCUGCAGUGCCUGAAGUCCCCUUCCCUGUUUUAGCUUUUUGCUAUCUCUUUUCAUUUCGAGAACAAUUGUACUUUUCUUUCUAGACUAGUGUUUGUAGAAAUUCGUAGUUUUCAUGAAAUUGUGACUCUAGAUUAUGGGUAGACAUGUAUUGGAUUAUUUAAAAUUGUUAUAUCUCUUCC
rnacentral:lncRNA from 1 species